rnacentral:rRNA from 1 species
CCUACGGGGGGCUGCAGUGGGGAAUCUUGGACAAUGGGCGCAAGCCUGAUCCAGCCAUGCCGCGUGAGUGAUGAAGGCCCUAGGGUUGUAAAACUCUUUCGUGGGGGACGAUAAUGACGGUACCCCAAGAAGAAGCUCCGGCUAACUUCGUGCCAGCAGCCGCGGUAAUACGAAGGGGGCUAGCGUUGUUCGGAUUUACUGGGCGUAAAGCGCGUGUAGGCGGGCUGGAAAGUUGGGGGUGAAAUCCCGAGGCUCAACCUCGGAACUGCCUCCAAAACUUCCAGCCUGGACUCAAGUAGAGGCAAGUGGAAUUGCGAGUGUAGAGGUGAAAUUCGUAGAUAUUCGCAGGAACACCAGUGGCGAAGGCGACUUGCUGGACUUGUAGUGACGCUGAGACGCGAAAGCGUGGGGAGCAAACAGGAUUAGAUACCCCAGUAGUC